GUCUGAGGAGCUAGCUGGUGGGUUAAGGGCCUACGAGGGCGACUAUCAGGAGCUGGUCGGAGAGGAUGAUCACCCACACUGGGGCUGAGUACACGGCCCAGACUCCGGCGGGAGGCACCGAGGGGGAAUUUUCCGCAGUGGG
rnacentral:rRNA from 1 species